rnacentral:snoRNA from 10 species
UGGAGGAAUGACCAGAGUGUAUCAUGAAUGAAAGAUCAUGAUUAAUCAACUUUUGUUGAUUUGAGACCCAAA